UGCUGAGUUGUAGUGUGUAGAAUCUAACUUUUGUUCAGUGUUAAUAUCAUAUAAUUUGGUUGGAAAACCAAGUAAUAGAAGGUGAUAACCCUGUAAUAUGAUAUGACUGAAUGUUGGAUUCUUGGAGUCGAGUUGUUUGGGAAUGCAACUCGAAGUGGGUGGUGAACUCCAUCUAAGGCUAAAUAUGUUCAAGAGACCGAUAGUGAACAAGUACCGUGAGGGAAAGAUGAAAAGAACUUUGAGAAAAGAGUGAAAUAGUACUUGAAAUCGUAUAGAGGUUAAGCAGAGUUGGUGGAUAUUGUAUUUGAAUGUACUAUAAUCAAUUGAUUAUGGCUUAUUCUUAUACAUAGUAUAAUUUGUGUGUGAAUUGGUUAAUAUUAAAACGAAUAUGCGCAUAAAUGAUAUAAAUCCUACAUCUCUGUCCCGUCUUGAAACACGGACCAAGGAGUCUAUCCUGUAUGCAAGUUGUAUGGUGUAAAACCAAUAAGCGUAAUGAAAGUAAGAGGUGUGAAAGUUGUAAAAGUGUCAACACCUGCCGAUCUAAAUUCUUUGAUGAAAGAUUCGAGUAUGAGCAUAUAGGGUGGGACCCGAAAGAUGGUGAACUAUGCCUGAAUAGGACGAAGCCAGGGGAAACUCUGGUGGAGGUUCGAGUGGAUUCUAACGUGCAAAUUGAUCUUUAAAUUUGGGUAUAGGGGCGAAAGACUAAUCGAACCAUCUAGUAGCUGGUUCAUUCCGAAAUUUCCCUCAGGAUAGCUGCAACUUAUGAAAUAGUUUUAUGAGGUAAAGCGAAUGAUUAGAGGUUUCUGGGAUGGAAUAUCCUGGACCUAUUCUCAAACUUUCAAUGGGUAAGAAAAGUGUGAUGUUUAAUUAAUCAUACUAUUUGAAUAUGAGUUGCAAGUGGGCCAUUCCGGGUAAGCUGGACUGGCAAUGCGGGAUCAACCGAACGCUAUGUUACGGCGCCAGAUUGUUCGCUCAGUUGGAUGUAAAAGGUGUUAGUUCAUCUAGACAGCAGGACGGUGGCCAUGGAAGUCGGAAUCCGCUAAGGAGUGUGUAACAACUCACCUGCCGAAUGAAGUAGCCCUGAAAAUGGAUGGCGCUUAAGCGAACAGCCUAUACAUAGCCAUUAUUGUUAGGAUUAUACAAUAAUGAGUAGGAAUGCGUGAUGAAUGUUGUGAAGUAUGAUGUGUGAACAUGUAUGGAACAUUCAUUAGUGCAGAUCUUGGUGGAAGUAGCAAAUAUUCAAAUGAGAUCUUUGAAGACUGAAGUGGAGAAAGGUUCCAUAGGAAUAGUGAUUAUCUAUGGGUUAGUCGAUCCUAAGAGAUAGGUGAAAUCCAUUGAAAAGUCAAUUUCGAUUGACAUUUAUCGAAAGGGAAUCAGGUUAAUAUUCCUGAACCAAAGAGAAGGGUAAACGGUAACGUAUAGGGGUCUCAAGACAUUGAUGUUAUUCCCAGGAAGAGUUUUCUUUUCUUGUUAACAAAUGGGCAGUGCUUGGAAUCGAUUCAGUCGGCGAUAAGCAUUGUUAUUUGGUAAAGUACUACUAUUUUGUGUAGUAUCUGGUGCAAUGACAUGAAUCCUUGAAAAUUGAGACUUUUGUUUUCCCGAAGCUUUGGUCGUACUAAUAACCGCAUCAGGUCUCCAAGGUGAAUAGCCUCUAGUUAAUAGAAUAAUGUAGAUAAGGGAAGUCGGCAAAUUAGAUCCGUAACUUCGGGAUAAGGAUUGGCUCUGAGGGCUAAGUGGGUUUAAGGUGUUAAUAGUAUAAGUUUGAUAUGGGAUUGAGUGUUUUGAGUUGCUUCGGUGAUUUGAAAUAUUUGGUUCUAAUGUCUUAGUUGUCUAUUUUCAUCUACCACUAUGAAUAGCUAACUCAGAACUGGUACGGACAAGGGGAAUCCGACUGUUUAAUUAAAACAAAGCAUUGUGAUGGUGUGAAAGAUAUGUUGACACAAUGUGAAUUCUGCCCAGUGCUCUGAAUGUGAAAGUGGCGUAAUUCAAGCAAGCGCGGGUAAACGGCGGGAGUAACUAUGACUCUCUUAAGGUAGCCAAAUGCCUCGUCAUCUAAUUAGUGACGCGCAUGAAUGG
rnacentral:rRNA from 1 species